rnacentral:rRNA from 1 species
AGAACGAACGCUGGCGGCGUGGAUAAGACAUGCAAGUCGAACGGGAUUACUUUUGGUAGCAAUACCGAAAGUAAUUCAGUGGCGAACGGGUGCGUAACACGCGGGCAAUCUGCCGAAAAGUGGGGGAUAGCUCGCCGAAAGGCGAAUUAAUACCGCAUGUGGUGAGGGACGACAUCUUCCUGAAUCCAAAGCCGGGGCAACCUGGCGCUUUUUGAGGAGCCCGCGGCCUAUCAGCUUGCUGGUGAGGUAACGGCUCACCAAGGCUUUGACGGGUAGCUGGUCUGAGAGGACGACCAGUCACAUUGGAACUGAGACACGGUCCAGACACCUACGGGUGCAGCAGUCGAGAAUUUUCUCAAUGGGGGCAACCCUGAAGGAGCGACGCCGCGUGGAGGAUGAAGGUCUUUCGGGGUUAGU